UACGAAGGGGGGCUAGCGUUGCUCGGAAUCACUGGGCGUAAAGCGCACGUAGGCGGAUUGCUAAGUCAGGGGUGAAAUCCUGGAGCUCAACUCCAGAACUGCCUUUGAUACUGGCGAUCUCGAGUCCGGGAGAGGUGAGUGGAAUUCCCGGUGUAGCGGUGAAAUGCGCAGAUAUCGGGAGGAACACCAAUGGCGAAGGCAGCUCGCUGGGACGGUACUGACGCUGAGACGCGAAAGCGUGGGGAGCAAACAGGAGUUAGAAAC
rnacentral:rRNA from 1 species